GACGAACGCUGGCGGCAUGCCUAAUACAUGCAAGUCGAACGCAGUGGGGACUGGUGAGUAACCCGUGGGUAACCUCCCAUCAGAGGGGAUAACACUUGGACACAGGUGCUCAACCGAUACUGAUAGCUGGACCCGCGGUGCAUUAGCUAGUUGGUGAGGGAAAGGCUCACCAAGGCUACGAGCCGUAGCUGGUUUGAGAGGACGACCAGACACACUGGGACUUAGACACGGCCCAGACUCCUACGGGAGGCAGCAGUGGGGAAUUUGGGACAAUGGGGGAAACCCUGAUCCAGCCAUCCCGCGUGUGAGAUGAAGGCCGUCGGGUUGUAAAGCACUUUUGGCAGGAAAGCGGUACCUGCAGAAUAAGCACCGGCUAACUACGUGCCAGCAGCCGCGGUAAUUC
rnacentral:rRNA from 1 species